UGGGGAAUAUUGCACAAUGGGCGCAAGCCUGAUGCAGCCAUGCCGCGUGUGUGAAGAAGGCCUUCGGGUUGUAAAGCACUUUCAGCGAGGAGGAAGGGUAGUGUGUUAAUAGCACAUUGCAUUGACGUUACUCGCAGAAGAAGCACCGGCUAACUCCGUGCCAGCAGCCGCGGUAAUACGGAGGGUGCAAGCGUUAAUCGGAAUUACUGGGCGUAAAGCGCACGCAGGCGGUUUGUUAAGUCAGAUGUGAAAUCCCCGCGCUUAACGUGGGAACUGCAUUUGAAACUGGCAAGCUAGAGUCUUGUAGAGGGGGGUAGAAUUCCAGGUGUAGCGGUGAAAUGCGUAGAGAUCUGGAGGAAUACCGGUGGCGAAGGCGGCCCCCUGGACAAAGACUGACGCUCAGGUGCGAAAGCAUGGGGAGCAAACA
rnacentral:rRNA from 1 species